rnacentral:rRNA from 1 species
GUGAAAUUGAACUCGCUGUGAAGAUGCAGUGUACCCGCGGCAAGACGGAAAGACCCCGUGAACCUUUACUAUAGCUUGACACUGAACAUUGAGCCUUGAUGUGUAGGAUAGGUGGGAGGCUUUGAAGUGUGGACGCCAGUCUGCAUGGAGCCGACCUUGAAAUACCACCCUUUAAUGUUUGAUGUUCUAACGUGGACCCGUAAUCCGGGUUGCGGACAGUGUCUGGUGGGUAGUUUGACUGGGGCGGUCUCCUCCUAAAGAGUAACGGAGGAGCACGAAGGUUGGCUAAUCCUGGUCGGACAUCAGGAGGUUAGUGCAAUGGCAUAAGCCAGCUUGACUGCGAGCGUGACGGCGCGAGCAGGUGCGAAAGCAGGUCAUAGUGAUCCGGUGGUUCUGAAUGGAAGGGCCAUCGCUCAACGGAUAAAAGGUACUCCGGGGAUAACAGGCUGAUACCGCCCAAGAGUUCAUAUCGACGGCGGUGUUUGGCACCUCGAUGUCGGCUCAUCACAUCCUGGGGCUGAAGUAGGUCCCAAGGGUAUGGCUGUUCGCCAUUUAAAGUGGUACGCGAGCUGGGUUUAGAACGUCGUGAGACAGUUCGGUCCCUAUCUGCCGUGGGCGCUGGAGAACUGAGGGGGGCUGCUCCUAGUACGAGAGGACCGGAGUGGACGCAUCACUGGUGUUCGGGUUGUCAUGCCAAUGGCACUGCCCGGUAGCUAAAUGCGGAAGAGAUAAGUGCUGAAAGCAUCUAAGCACGAAACUUGCCCCGAGAUGAGUUCUCCCUGAGACUUUAGGUCUCCUGAAGGAACGUUGAAGACGACGACGUUGAUAGGCCGGGUGUGUAAGCGCAGCGAUGCGUUGAGCUAACCGGUACUAAUGAACCGUGAGGCUUAACCUUACAACGCCGAAG